CCUACGGGUGGCAGCAGUGGGGAAUAUUGGGCAAUGGGCGCAAGCCUGACCCAGCAACGCCGCGUGAAGGAAGAAGGCUUUCGGGUUGUAAACUUCUUUUGUCAGGGAAGAGUAGAAGACGGUACCUGACGAAUAAGCCACGGCUAACUACGUGCCAGCAGCCGCGGUAAUACGUAGGUGGCAAGCGUUGUCCGGAUUUACUGGGUGUAAAGGGCGUGUAGCCGGGUUGACAAGUCAGAUGUGAAAUCCUGCGGCUUAACCGCAGAACUGCAUUUGAAACUGUUGAUCUUGAGUACUGGAGAGGCAGACGGAAUUCCUAGUGUAGCGGUGAAAUGCGUAGAUAUUAGGAGGAACACCAGUGGCGAAGGCGGAUUACUGGACGAUAACUGACGGUGAGGCGCGAAAGCGUGGGGAGCAAACAGGAUUAGAUACCCGAGUAGUC
rnacentral:rRNA from 1 species